CUCCUGUACUCUGCCGCGUCGCUCCUUCUCCCGCGCCUACGUCUGUCUCCGUUUUAUCUGCACCGAGUGCAGGCGACGAUGGUGUGUAUAACCAUGCAAUUGGCGAAGUACCAAGUCAGACGACUCGGAUGUCUAGGAUUCAUAUUUUUUCUUUUUACAUUAGAGAGAAAAUAAAAUUGGACAAACUGGGGAAGUCAACUAAUUCAACAGUUGUGUUGGAAAAACAAAAUGAUUUAAAUCUACCAACAAGAAAAAAAUGUUAUAUUUUCU